UAUCAGAGUAUGUAAAAUAGCCCCAAGUGGUUUAUCCUUAUAACUUUAUUUUCCUGUGGCAGUGGCAAAUAGCCAUCCCUAUCCUGAGGGCUAAAUUUGUGAGAUUGUAUCAUUAGCCAGGAUUAAAGCUCUACUUAUGUUUAAGGCCUGGAAAGAUCCCCUAUGGAGGUCUAGGAGAAACCAAGCCUCAGUAUGGGUAGGCCUCUUGC
rnacentral:lncRNA from 10 species